UACGAAGGGGGCUAGCGUUGCUCGGAAUCACUGGGCGUAAAGCGCACGUAGGCGGCUUUUUAAGUCAGGGGUGAAAUCCUGGAGCUCAACUCCAGAACUGCCUUUGAUACUGAGAAGCUUGAGUCCGGGAGAGGUGAGUGGAACUGCGAGUGUAGAGGUGAAAUUCGUAGAUAUUCGCAAGAACACCAGUGGCGAAGGCGGCUCACUGGCCCGGUACGUGACUGCCUGA
rnacentral:rRNA from 1 species